rnacentral:tRNA from 1 species
CGGUCGGUGUGGGCGUCGGGGACGCCGCCGAGGUCGUUGUCUUCGAAGCCGGGGUUCUGGACCUCGACCAUCCGGC